rnacentral:tRNA from 1 species
GCGGAAGUGGCUCAGUUGGUAGAGCGUCUCCUUGCCAAGGAGAAGGUCGCGGGUUCAAAUCCCGUCUUCCGCU